CCGGUUUUCUUAGGUGCCCGGAUGUCCUUCUUUGUGCGUUCCCACAUGGCACAAUUGGCCUCGUUGCAUUGCUUCUGCCUACUAUGGGCAGAAAAGUGAACUUUCCACCGUAGACGUAACCGUCAUUUGCCCAAUCAAUCAGCUUAAAUGAAAGUUGGAGAACUUUUAUUGAAGUCUGAUGGUUGCACUGCCACCAUUAACUGAAGGAAAAAUGAAUGAGGCAGCAGAGAGCUGGGGAGUUUCUAAAGGGUUGUUGCCCCUCUCUGUUUUCCUGCCUAUGAUUUCGGCAAUUCUUUUUGAAAAAAGAAAGAAAUUAACAUCCCUUUGCAGAAAUCAGAAACUGGAAAUGUUAUCAAACGAGGCCUGUUUGGAUUGGAGAUUAUUUCUGAAAGAUCUGCUGAGAUAGCAGUGCUUGUUUCAUCACCAACCUUAAUUCUUUGUUGUUGCUGCUGCUGCUCUGCUGUGUAGUCAUAAUUACUGAUGCCUUUUUGCAUUUGGGCGUUGAGGUUUGUGUAUAUUUCCGGGCAGUGACGAUGAAAAUCCUUUCUUGAGUUAUUGAUGGCGAAAUUCAUGGAGGUAAAUUCGAGCCCGUAUCUUGGCUGGGCAACCCAGAUGGCGUGUGGGAUGAGAUGGGUCUCAUCCGCAUAUGUAACUGGGAAUUUGCAGCCAUGGCGGUGUCUCCCUCCAUUUUGCCUCCACCUUUUACAGAUCUGAGCCUGAUUGAUCAUUGUAUGUAUCUUCUCUGUAUCUUUUAAUUACUCGAUUGUUUUUGUUUCAGUCUUGUGGUAUGUUGAUUUGUCGGUGGAUGAAUUCCAUUGGAAACAAUACAUUGAUGGACCUAGAAGCAUCAAGUCAUUAAGCCAGGAGCAACCAAGAAAUUUUAUGCAGCAAUUAUCUGUUAUGAAACAUUAAUUUUGACUUUUACCCCCUUGUCAUGUUAGUGACCAUCUUCGUUAGGGCUAAAGACCAGUUAAAAGAGUAUUUUCCCACCUCCUACUGUCUUGGUACUAGUUUUCCAUAUGUUUUGGGGCUCAACAAGCAGAAUCUGCAGUCAACCAUGAUUUGUUUGAUAUAAUUCGGUUUCUGUUUCAAUUUUGGUCUUAGGAAGUUGAUGCUGGUCAUGCAUUGAUUAAUUUCCGGGACAGAUAAGCACAUCUGAGUUCCAUAUAUUGGUAGUUUGAAAGGGGAUUAUUCAAUGGACAGAUCCUAAUUAGGAGACUAAAGACUAACGUAUCUCACUCUUCAAUCAUUUUGCAGCAAUCUUUGUUAUAUUAAUUUUACUGGUUUUGCACAUGGACUUAUGCUUUGCUUUAAUUACCCUGCUGCUAUAACGGUUUGCUUCAAUGGUAUCGCAUGAACAUCUCUGAGGACACUUUGGGCUUUGACAAUACAACUUCUGGUCAAGUUUGAACAUCAGGUGUGCUUUGUUUCUCUCCUGAGUCCCCCCCCCUCCCCCUUUCUGGUGUGUUGCAUGAUUUUGGUAGCAUUUUACUAAAUGCAGCAAAUUUCAGUUUCGAAAAUUUGCAGGAUCUUUAAAAGUCACUUUGGAUAAUUUGCACUGUGGUAUAUCUGAAGAGAGAUGAUGUCAAUAUGUAGUGAAAAAUUAGCAAAAUCCAUUUACAUUUUUAAAGAAGACAGAGCCUGAUUGUUCUUUAUUGCUGUCCUUUGCUGUUAGGUUUCGUUUCAAGGACAUAUUGAGGACAGCAAUAUAGGCUAAUGGUAGUCUCUCUGUUUGCAUAUCUAGAGUUUUGGUAGUUUAGUUUAGAGAUUUGAAGCUUCAAAUUUCACACUCCACAAGAAUGUUAUCAAAGACAAAGUGACCAACUGAUGUAGGGUAAAAUUGUUUUCCUGAUGUUUCUGGUGUAGCCUAUGAGAGCCUUAGCUAAUUCACUCUUUCCUUCUCUAGUGGGGAAAAACAAAGGAUGAUUGCAGAAUACAAAUACGUUAUUAGGUAUAACUAUUCUUUACAGAAUAUAUUUGGGUGUCUCUACAAGCUAAUAAAAUGACCUAGAAUUGCAAUUUGUACUCCAGCUGCAAUGUCUUGAACACUUCUUCGACGAACAUCCUGCUGCCAAACUUCAGUGGAAGUUCCAUUGUAGAGGUAUUGAUUCAUAAAUUCAUACUGCCUAUUAUCAUUCUGCUCCAAACGAUCCCAAACAGACCGCCUCUCGUCAUCUGCCUCCGUUGGGCCUCACCCAUGGAUGUUGAAUCCUAGCAUGUUUCCUUAAUUCAUCAUAAUUCCCAGAAAAAUCACAAGAUUCCAGAGCACAACCCCGUGUUCCCGAGUUCAUGUACGUGCGAGCACCUUGUACCACAAUCCAACCACUGAUGUUUCCCCGAGAAAGAGGGCACACAAGUUCAAGAACCCGUCUGUUUGCACAAGGAAAAGACCCGUUUGGUUGAUCAAUGGAAGUUGAUUUUGAUGGCGAUAACCCAUGCAAUUUACAGAACUGAUCAAAGCAAUUCGAAUGGAGGUAGCUUGUGUCACAGAUGAAUUCCUGGUUCUUUUGAGCAGAACUACUUUCCACAGAGUUCUUGCAAUUCCUGCUAUUAGUCUUUGAUUUGUUGCAAUUGUAAGGAAAUGUCCUUGAAUAUUGAUUGGAAGAUGAGGGGUUCAAUCUUUUGUCCUUCAGCAUCUUAAGAUGUUUGAUGGAUGCUUUUUAUAAGAGGAUUCAAGUUUGGUUUUCUUGAUCAA